rnacentral:rRNA from 1 species
UACGUAGGCAGCAAGCGUUGUUCGGAGUUACUGGGCGUAAAGAGUGCGUAGGCGGUCCUGUAAGUUUGGUGUGAAAUCUCCCGGCUCAACUGGGAGGGUGCGCCGAAGACUGCAGGGCUUGAGUAUGGGAGAGGUAAGCGGAAUUCCUGGUGUAGCGGUGAAAUGCGUAGAUAUCGGGAGGAACACCGGUGGCGAAGGCGGCCCCCUGGUUGGAUACUGACGCUGAGACGCGAAAGCGUGGGGAGCAAACAGG